CCGAGUAACGCGGGUUGGACACUGCCUAUCAGCUGGGUCAGAAGUGUUAAAAAUGGCGGCCAACAACGUUGGAAAGGAGUACAAGAGGGUGUUCAUGGUGAUGGAAAAUGGGAAGCAAGACUGUGUAGCUUUAGAGGAACCACUUGUUCAGCAAAUUUCAAAUGGAGAUCAAGAGCUGGCUUUGAAAAUCAUGAAGGCCUACAAUGAAAACGCACGACCUGCUGGAGAGAGUUUGGUUGUGUCAAUUAUUGUGCCAGAAGUAGGGCCACUACCAGCCAGU